CCCUUAGACACUCUAGGCGGCACGCGCGCUACAAUGGGUGGAAGAACGUGUUACUGCCUCCGAAAGGAGGGGUGAAUCACGAAUUCUUGCCCGUGACUGGGAUAGUUUGUUGCAAUUUUCGGACUUGAACUAGGAAUCCCUUGUAAACAUGCUCAAGAAUAGCGUGUUGAAUACGUCCCUGCCGUUUGUACACACCGCCCGUCGUUUCUUCCGACUGAUACUCAUUGUGAGUUGCAAGGACCCUUUAUUGGGAAAUUGCUGCAAAUGCUUUGUAUUGGAGGAAGAAAAAGUCGUAACA
rnacentral:rRNA from 1 species